CAGGACGACGCUGGCGGCGUGCCUAACACAUGCAAGUCGAGCGAGGAGAUCCUUCGGGAUGAUCCUAGCGGCGGACGGGUGAGUAACACGUGGGCAACCUGCCUCAUAGAGAGGAAUAGCCUUCCGAAAGGGAGAUUAAUACCUCAUAACAUUGCAGUUUCGCAUGGAACAGCAAUUAAAGGAGCAAUCCGCUAUGAGAUGGGCCCGCGGCGCAUUAGCUAGUUGGUGAGGUAACGGCUCACCAAGGCGACGAUGCGUAGCCGACCUGAGAGGGUGAUCGGCCACAUUGGGACUGAGACACGGCCCAGACUCCUACGGGAGGCAGCAGUGGGGAAUAUUGCACAAUGGGGGAAACCCUGAUGCAAGCAACGCCGCGUGAGUGAUGACGGCCUUCGGGUUGUAAAGCUCUGUCUUCAGGGACGAUAAUGACGGUACCUGAGGAGGAAGCCACGGCUAACUACGUGCCAGCCGCUGC
rnacentral:rRNA from 1 species